rnacentral:rRNA from 1 species
AUGAACGCUGGCGGCGUGCCUAAUACAUGCAAGUCGAGCGAACAGACGAGGAGCUUGCUCCUCUGACGUUAGCGGCGGACGGGUGAGUAACACGUGGAUAACCUACCUAUAAGACUGGGAUAACUUCGGGAAACCGGAGCUAAUACCGGAUAAUAUAUUGAAUCGCAUGGUUCAAUAGUGAAAGACGGUUUUGCUGUCACUUAUAGAUGGCUCCGCGCCGCAUUAGCUAGUUGGUAAGGUAACGGCUUACCAAGGCAACGAUGCGUAGCCGACCUGAGAGGGUGAUCGGCCACACUGGAACUGAGACACGGUCCAUGCUCCUACGGGAGGCAGCAGUAGGGAAUCUUCCGCAAUGGGCGAAAGCCUGACGGAGCAACGCCGCGUGAGUGAUGAAGGUCUUCGGAUCGUAAAACUCUGUUAUUAGGGAAGAACAAAUGUGUAAGUAACUAUGCACGUCUUGACGGUACCUAAUCAGAAAGCCACGGCUAACUACGUG